UUUAUAAUAUUAAAGUUUUCUAAACUUUUUUUCUUUUUAGAAUUAUAAUA
rnacentral:tRNA from 1 species